AUCACCCCUGAGGAUAAGAAGAGAGCGUGGACUGAAGUGGCAGAAGCUGUAACAAGUGCCUUCCCUGGGAGUGGACCCCGUACGCAGGAUGACUGUGAGAGGCGUUGGUACAACGUACAACAAAAAUCAAAGCCUCGCAUUGCCAAGUGCAAGAAUGAGCAGCGGCAGACUGCCCCGCUGCUGUAUUGCUAGAGACCAUCCCAGCACAUUGUUCAUUACUUGUGGAAAAUAUACCAUCAGCUGCUCCGGCAACAGCCACUGCUUCAUCAUCUGCUGGCCCAAUGACACCAGCCACUGCUUCAUCAUCUGCUGGCCCAAUGA